UACGAAGGGGCUAGCGUUGCUCGGAAUUACUGGGCGUAAAGCGCACGUAGGCGGCUUCUAAGUCGGGGGUGAAAUCCUGGAGCUCAACUCCAGAACUGCCUUCGAUACUGGAGAGCUCGAGUCCGGAGAGGUGAGUGGAACUGCGAGUGUAGAGGUGAAAUUCGUAGAUAUUCGCAAGAACACCAGUGGCGAAGGCGGCUCACUGGCCCGGUACUGACGCUGAGGUGCGAAAGCGUGGGGAGCAAACAGG
rnacentral:rRNA from 1 species